UACGUAGGGUGCGAGCGUUGUCCGGAAUUACUGGGCGUAAAGAGCUCGUAGGUGGUUUGUCGCGUUGUUCGUGAAAACUCACAGCUUAACUGUGGGCGUGCGGGCGAUACGGGCAGACUGGAGUACUGCAGGGGAGACUGGAAUUCCUGGUGUAGCGGUGGAAUGCGCAGAUAUCAGGAGGAACACCAGUGGCGAAGGCGGGUCUCUGGACAGUUCCUGACGCUGAGGCACGAAGGCCAGGGGGAGCAAAACGGGG
rnacentral:rRNA from 1 species